rnacentral:rRNA from 1 species
CCUACGGGAGGCUGCAGUGAGGAAUAUUGGUCAAUGGGCGCGAGCCUGAACCAGCCAAGUAGCGUGAAGGAUGACUGCCCUACGGGUUGUAAACUUCUUUUAUAAAGGAAUAAAGUGAGGCACGUGUGCCUUUUUGCAUGUACUUUAUGAAUAAGGAUCGGCUAACUCCGUGCCAGCAGCCGCGGUAAUACGGAGGAUCCGAGCGUUAUCCGGAUUUAUUGGGUUUAAAGGGAGCGUAGAUGGGUUGUUAAGUCAGUUGUGAAAGUUUGCGGCUCAACCGUAAAAUUGCAAUUGAUACUGGCAGCCUUGAGUACAGUUGAGGUAGGCGGAAUUCGUGGUGUAGCGGUGAAAUGCUUAGAUAUCACGAAGAACUCCGAUUGCGAAGGCAGCCUGCUGAACUGCCACUGACGUUGAUGCUCGAAAGUGUGGGUAGCAAACAGGAUUAGAUACCCCUGUAGUC